rnacentral:rRNA from 1 species
UACGUAGGGUGCGAGCGUUGUCCGGAAUUAUUGGGCGUAAAGAGCUCGUAGGCGGUUUGUUGCGUCGGCCGUGAAAACCUGCAGCUUAACUGUGGGCCUGCGGCCGAUACGGGCAGACUUGAGUUCGGUAGGGGAGACUGGAGUUCCUGGUGUAGCGGUGAAAUGCGCAGAUAUCAGGAGGAACACCGGUGGCGAAGGCGGGUCUCUGGGCCGAUACUGACGCUGAGGAGCGAAAGCGUGGGGAGCGAACAGG